GGUGCAAAGAGCUUUCUAAAUUUCUAAAAGGGCUGAGAUCUAACUAGAAGUACUGCAGAUGAAGGUAUUGGCAUGCACAAACAAGUCCAAGAGUGAAACUUCAGCACAAGAUUAGGCCAAUCUUUUCAUUCAGAAAAUGGUGACCAGCUGUAGUGUGGAAGAGUGUGUAUCAACAGCCUUGUCAAUGAAUGAGAGGGCAAAGAGGGGAGGAAAUUACUAGGAGCCAUUUUCCAGCCCGCCUCUUCUUCCUGUGUGAAGAAAAUAUGGACUAUCAUUGUAUUAAUCACCAAAUAGCCAGCCAUUAAAAAGACAGGGUCACAGAAUGAUGAAAAAUGGGAUCAAGUGUAGUUUUAAUUCACAAACUGAUCUGCAUGGGGAAAUACACACUGCAAGGCUGUGAAGAAUUUGAAUUGAUUUUCACUGUGCUGCUUGGCUACAUUUUCCUGGUCACAGUGAAGAGGUUCUGCCUGUGGAUCUCCUUGAUGGCAGAAUGUUGCUUUAAGCUCCAUAUGGCUGGAUGAAAUUUGUAGAGAGACCACCGCCACAUUUACGUCUUACAAGCAGAAAAAUCCAAUCUUGCUUUACAGCAUCUCAUAGAAAUGUAAACACCCCAGAAUUGGAUGAAGCAACCCUCAUUUUUAACGUGAUGAUCAUAUCAUGGGAGGCAAAUCAAAGAAAGCUCGAGGAAGGCAGAAAGCAGCAGCAAGUGGUGUGAUCUCUUUGGAUUGCCAGCUCUCUGAAGCAGGAGCCUGUCUUUUAGGUGCUUUACAGACAUACAAGUGCACUUUUGCAUGCUCUGGGCCUGAUUCUGAUAUCCUUAUAUCCUUAUGGGUGGUGCGCAGGAACGAGACAAAAUAGAAGCUUGGAAAUGUUCAGGUAAAUGAUUCACCAGGCGGAGAGGUACAGAUUCAGGCAAAUAAGCACACAGAGAGAUAAGCGGAAUGAUUCAUAGCAGAACUACAACCAGGAUCAUAAGAGGGAAGAAGUUAUAAAACAAGAAAUGUAGAAUUCUCCAGUAAGACUCUGGUGACAGUGCUACAACAAAACAGACCUUUUCAUUUAAUUUACUCUGUUGGGAAGGUUUAUUAGGACCUCUAUUCCCAUAAAAACUGUCUUGGAUUUAAGAAUGACGGACGUUACACUUGGUCUUUUCUACAAAGAAAGGGGGUAAAUAUUUAUAGCAGCACUGCCUUUUACAAGUGGGGAAAUUCAAUAUCUGCCCAUUGUUUUUAUAAUACAAUAACAGCUGUCUUGAAAGAUAACACCUGCUAAUUGUAUGUGCUGUCACACCCUUUUCCAAUUGAAUAUAAGGUAUGGGAGGAAUGAAUAAGCUGGGGUUUUAUUUUUUUAAUAUAUGUAACAUAAUUUAUCCGAAAGAAAAGGAUCUUUUGUAAACCUUUUUCAGUUACUCGAUUUUUAGUAGCCCAUGGAAGAUCAUAAAAUCAAUCAAAAGUUGUAGUUAA